UACGAAGGGGGGCUAGCGUUGCUCGGAAUGACUGGGCGUAAAGGGCGCGUAGGCGGCACACAUAGUCAGGCGUGAAAUUCCUGGGCUUAACCUGGGGGGCUGCGUUUGAUACAUGUGAGCUAGAGGAUGGAAGAGGCUCGUGGAAUUCCCAGUGUAGAGGUGAAAUUCGUAGAUAUUGGGAAGAAUACCGGUGGCGAAGGCGGCGAGCUGGUCCAUUACUGACGGCUGAGG
rnacentral:rRNA from 1 species